rnacentral:rRNA from 1 species
GAUGAACGCUGGCGGCGUGCCUAAUACAUGCAAGUCGAGCGAACAGAUGAGGAGCUUGCUCCCCUGACGUUAGCGGCGGACGGGUGAGUAACACGUGGAUAACCUACCUAUAAGACUGGGAUAACUUCGGGAAACCGGAGCUAAUACCGGAUAAUAUAUUGAACCGCAUGGUUCAAUAGUGAAAGACGGUUUUGCUGUCACUUAUAGAUGGAUCCGCGCCGCAUUAGCUAGUUGGUAAGGUAACGGCUUACCAAGGCAACGAUGCGUAGCCUACCUGAGAGGGUGAUCGGCCACACUGGAACUGAGACACGGUCCAGACUCCUACGGGAGGCAGCAGUAGGGAAUCUUCCGCAAUGGGCGAAAGCCUGACGGAGCAACGCCGCGUGAGUGAUGAAGGUCUUCGGAUCGUAAAACUCUGUUAUUAGGGAAGAACAAAUGUGUAAGUAACUAUGCACGUCUUGACGGUACCUAAUCAGAAAGCCACGGCUAACUACGUG